UCGUAACAAGGUUUCCGUAGGUGAACCUGCGGAAGGAUCAUUACCGAGCCGCCGGCCCAGGGCGCGUCGCACUUCGCGGCGCGCCGCAAGCCGGCAACCGGCCACUCUUGUCUACCUACCCAUUGCCUCGGCGGGCCGUGUCGCUCGCGGCCGACCGGGGGGAAGGCGCCCGGUCUCAGCAUCGGGCGUUGUCCCCCGGGCCUGCGCCCGCCGAUGGAACAGCUAAAAAUCGAAUUGUAUGACUGUCUGAGCAUUAAGCACAAAUUAGUUAAAACUUUCAACAACGGAUCUCUUGGUUCCGGCAUCGAUGAAGAACGCAGCGAAAUGCGAUAAGUAAUGUGAAUUGCAGAAUUCCGUGAAUCAUCGAAUCUUUGAACGCACAUUGCGCCCCCCUGGUAUUCCGGGGGGCAUGCCUGUCCGAGCGUCAUUACAACCAUCAAGCACGGCUUGUGUGUUGGGCGAUCGUCCCCCUUCUCUGGCGGGACGCGCCCGAAACGCAGUGGCGACGCCGCGAUUCCGGCGCCUGAGCGAAUGGGAUUUUCCACCGCUACAAGGCCCGGCCGGCAUUGGCCUCCAAACCAGUCCCCUAGGGACUACACAACGGUUGACCUCGGAUCAGGUAGGGAUACCCGCUGAACUUAAGCAUAUCA
rnacentral:misc_RNA from 1 species